UUUAUGGAGAGUUUGAUCCUGGCUCAGGAUGAACGCUGGCGGCGUGCCUAAUACAUGCAAGUCGAGCGAACAGAUAAGGAGCUUGCUCCUUUGACGUUAGCGGCGGACGGGUGAGUAACACGUGGGUAACCUACCUAUAAGACUGGGAUAACUUCGGGAAACCGGAGCUAAUACCGGAUAAUAUUUCGAACCGCAUGGUUCGAUAGUGAAAGAUGGUUUUGCUAUCACUUAUAGAUGGACCCGCGCCGUAUUAGCUAGUUGGUAAGGUAACGGCUUACCAAGGCAACGAUACGUAGCCGACCUGAGAGGGUGAUCGGCCACACUGGAACUGAGACACGGUCCAGACUCCUACGGGAGGCAGCAGUAGGGAAUCUUCCGCAAUGGGCGAAAGCCUGACGGAGCAACGCCGCGUGAGUGAUGAAGGUCUUCGGAUCGUAAAACUCUGUUAUUAGGGAAGAACAUACGUGUAAGUAACUAUGCACGUCUUGACGGUACCUAAUCAGAAAGCCACGGCUAACUACGUGCCAGCAGCCGCGGUAAUACGUAGGUGGCAAGCGUUAUCCGGAAUUAUUGGGCGUAAAGCGCGCGUAGGCGGUUUUUUAAGUCUGAUGUGAAAGCCCACGGCUCAACCGUGGAGGGUCAUUGGAAACUGGAAAACUUGAGUGCAGAAGAGGAAAGUGGAAUUCCAUGUGUAGCGGUGAAAUGCGCAGAGAUAUGGAGGAACACCAGUGGCGAAGGCGACUUUCUGGUCUGUAACUGACGCUGAUGUGCGAAAGCGUGGGGAUCAAACAGGAUUAGAUACCCUGGUAGUCCACGCCGUAAACGAUGAGUGCUAAGUGUUAGGGGGUUUCCGCCCCUUAGUGCUGCAGCUAACGCAUUAAGCACUCCGCCUGGGGAGUACGACCGCAAGGUUGAAACUCAAAGGAAUUGACGGGGACCCGCACAAGCGGUGGAGCAUGUGGUUUAAUUCGAAGCAACGCGAAGAACCUUACCAAAUCUUGACAUCCUUUGAUCGCUCUAGAGAUAGAGUUUUCCCCUUCGGGGGACAAAGUGACAGGUGGUGCAUGGUUGUCGUCAGCUCGUGUCGUGAGAUGUUGGGUUAAGUCCCGCAACGAGCGCAACCCUUAAACUUAGUUGCCAGCAUUCAGUUGGGCACUCUAAGUUGACUGCCGGUGACAAACCGGAGGAAGGUGGGGAUGACGUCAAAUCAUCAUGCCCCUUAUGAUUUGGGCUACACACGUGCUACAAUGGACAAUACAAAGGGCAGCGAAACCGCGAGGUCAAGCAAAUCCCAUAAAGUUGUUCUCAGUUCGGAUUGUAGUCUGCAACUCGACUACAUGAAGCUGGAAUCGCUAGUAAUCGUAGAUCAGCAUGCUACGGUGAAUACGUUCCCGGGUCUUGUACACACCGCCCGUCACACCACGAGAGUUUGUAACACCCGAAGCCGGUGGAGUAACCAUUUUGGAGCUAGCCGUCGAAGGUGGGACAAAUGAUUGGGGUGAAGUCGUAACAAGGUAGCCGUAUCGGAAGGUGCGGCUGGAUCACCUCCUUUCU
rnacentral:rRNA from 1 species